rnacentral:tRNA from 1 species
AUUUAUUUAGUAUAAAUUAAAAGUACAUUUAGUUUCCACCUAAAAAGUUUAAAUGAAAAAUAAAUA